CAUGCGUCAGUGCUGGUUCUUGGCCAAGAUCUAUCGUUUCACUGGCGGGACACUGGAGUCAAGCUGUUCGGUUUAGCUAAGUCCCGAUGUGUCGAGAGAGAAAAAGGGAUGCAGUUGUUUGUCGCCUCAUUGAGUACCUUGGGGAACAUCAAGAAGAUCUCAUCCAAGAUUGCUAGGAUGAAAAUGAGGACAACAUGGACUAAACCAUGAAGGUGCUUGUGAUCCAUAAUCCUGCAGCCAAGGAGCAUACAGCAGAUGUGUUGAUUGCAAUGGAGGGAAACCGAACCAAGGCAUGUGUGCUGUUGAUGGGAUUGAUCUACGCUCUCAAACUUGAGUAUUCCAAGAAGCUUGAGUAUAC